rnacentral:rRNA from 1 species
UACGUAGGUGGCAAGCGUUGUCCGGAUUUACUGGGCGUAAAGAGCGCGCAGGCGGUCGUAUAAGUCGAAUGUGAAAGCCCCCGGCUCAACUGGGGAGGGUCAUUCGAUACUGUUCGACUCGAAGGCAGGAGAGGGAAGUGGAAUUCCGGGUGUAGUGGUGAAAUGCGUAGAUAUCCGGAGGAACACCAGUGGCGAAGGCGACUUUCUGGCCCGUAACUGACGCUGAGUGUGCGAAAGCUAGGGGAGCAAA